rnacentral:rRNA from 1 species
ACAAACCUUCAUAAGGUGAAACCGCGAACGGCUCAUUAUAACAGCUAUAAUUUACUAGACCUUGAGCAAUUACACGGAUACCUGUGGUAAUUCUAGAGCUAAUACGUGCACCUAAGUUGUUCCUCACGGAGCAAUGCAUUUAUUUGAGCAAAACCAGGCGGCUUCGGCCGUUUCUGUUGAUUCAGAAUAACUAAGCUGAUCGCAUGGGCUUGUCCCGGCGACGUGUCUUUCAAGUGUCUGCCUUAUCAACUUUCGAUGGUAGUGUACGUGACUACCAUGGUGUUGACGGGUAACGGAGGAUAAGGGUUCGACUCCGGAGAAGGGGCCUGAGAAAUGGCCACUACGUCUAAGGAUGGCAGCAGGCGCGCAAAUUACCCACUCUCAGUUCGAGGAGGUAGUGACGAAAAAUAACAAGGCCGUUCUCUUUGAGGCCGGCCAUUGGAAUGGGUACAACUUAAACCCUUUAACGAGUAUCAAUGAGAGGGCAAGUCUGGUGCCAGCAGCCGCGGUAAUUCCAGCUCUCAAAAUGCAUAGAACCAUUGCUGCGGUUAAAAAGCUCGUAGUUGGAUCUGUGCUGGCGACGUGGUCCGCCUUAACCGGCGGUACUGCGCUCGUCGGCUUUGGGCCGGUUUUCGGGCGGUCACCUUCACUGGUGGCCGUUCGUGGCUGGCUGGUUUACUUUGAGCAAAUCAGAGUGCUCAGCACAGGCGUCUCGCCGGAAUGUUCGUGCAUGGAAUAAUGGAAAAGGAUUUCGGUCCUCUUUUAUUGGUUUUGUGGACUGAGAUAAUGGUUAACAGAGACGGACGGGGGCAUUCGUAUUGCUGCGUGAGAGGUGAAAUUCUUGGACCGCAGCAGGACGGACUACAGCG